rnacentral:rRNA from 1 species
AUACCAUGCUGAAAAUACCGGUUCUCGUUAAAUCACCGGAGUCAAGCAUCAUUGGGCGCUGUCAGUACUUGGGUGGGUGACCAUCGGGGAACACCGCGUGCCGUU